CUCCAUAGAUUUCCACAAGGUGCAAGGCGAGUGUAAUUUACGGAAAGACAAGCUUCCCAAAUCCUGAAUUCUUCUCAAAUUCCCGAAGUGUGGCUUUAAAGCGAGAACACAGUCCACGUUACUUGAUUGCAUUAUCCCCGAGUAGCCACAAGAGGGCGUGUGAGGAACACAAUCGUCUGGAACUGGCCUUCCAGAAACCACUUCCUUAAUGACACAGCAGCAGUAUCUGCAGUUUCCUGUAUUCAGAGCAGGUGGAACAGAUCCUUUGAACGAUCGCUUGCACAUCUUUCUAACAUGCUGCCUACACGGAAGAGGGAGAAAGGAAUAUUUAUCACACAGAUAUUUAAAUGGAAUCAGGGCUGUACAUAACCAUGACACGAUACUUUGUCAAAAAUAGAAAAAAGUUAAUCAGAUUGGUGAGUAAUCGUAUACCUCCUUCCCUAUCCCAUCUUACAGGCUUACAAGAAGUAGACUCUAGAAGAAUAGGUCAUUAUUAAGGAAACAGAAUCAGAGUACCUUAGUAAAAUAGAG
rnacentral:lncRNA from 1 species